GCUUACGGCCAUACCACCUUAGGCACGCCCGAUCUCGUCUGAUCUCGGAAGCUAAGCGAGGGGUCCGGGCCGUUGGUUAGUUACGUUGGAGUGGGUCGACCCGCCGUAGGGAACUACCGAGGUGCUAGUAAGCU
rnacentral:rRNA from 10 species